CCUACGGGUGGCUGCAGUGGGGAAUUUUGGACAAUGGGGGCAACCCUGAUCCAGCCAUGCCGCGUGAGUGAAGAAGGCCUUCGGGUUGUAAAGCUCUUUCGGCCGGGAAGAAAUCGCUCAAGCUAAUACCUUGGGUGGAUGACGGUACCGGAAGAAGAAGCACCGGCCCACUACGUGCCAGCAGCCGCGGUAAUACGUAGGGUGCGAGCGUUGCGCGGAAUUACUGGGCGUAAAGCGAGCGCAGGCGGGGGAAAUCCCUGGGCUUAACCUGGGAACUGCGUUUGUGACUGCGGUGCUCGAGUGCGGCAGAGGGGGGUGGAAUACCACGUGUAGCAGUGAAAUGCGUAGAGAUGUGGAGGAACACCGAUGGCGAAGGCAGCCCCCUGGGUGGACACUGACGCUCAUGCACGAAAGCGUGGGGAGCAAACAGGAUUAGAUACCCCGGUAGUC
rnacentral:rRNA from 1 species